CUACGGGGGGCAGCAGUGGGGAAUAUUGCACAAUGGGCGCAAGCCUGAUGCAGCCAUGCCGCGUGUAUGAAGAAGGCCUUCGGGUUGUAAAGUACUUUCAGCGGGGAGGAAGGGAGUAAAGUUAAUACCUUUGCUCAUUGACGUUACCCGCAGAAGAAGCACCGGCUAACUCCGUGCCAGCAGCCGCGGUAAUACGGAGGGUGCAAGCGUUAAUCGGAAUUACUGGGCGUAAAGCGCACGCAGGCGGUUUGUUAAGUCAGAUGGAAAUCCCGGGCGUAACCUGGGAACUGCAUCUGAUACUGGCAAGCUUGAGUCUCGUAGAGGGGGGUAGAAUUCCAGGUGUAGCGGUGAAAUGCGUAGAGAUCUGGAGGAAUACCGGUGGCGAAGGCGGCCCCCUGGACGAAGACUGACGCUCAGGUGCGAAAGCGUGGGGAGCAAACAGGAUUAGAUACCCGCGUAGUC
rnacentral:rRNA from 1 species